CUGGCCAAGCGCUCGGUGCUCAACAACCCCAGCAAGCACACGAUCAUCGAGCGCUCCAGCACGCGCUCCAGCCUGGAUGUCUUGGCCGAGGUGCAGAGCGAGACCGAGCGCAUCUUCGAGCUGGCCCGCACGCUGCAGCUGGUGGCCUUGGACGCCGACACCAUCAAC